AAAUUGAAGAGUUUGAUCAUGGCUCAGAUUGAACGCUGGCGGCAGGCCUAACACAUGCAAGUCGAACGGUAACAGGAAGCAGCUUGCUGCUUCGCUGACGAGUGGCGGACGGGUGAGUAAUGUCUGGGAAACUGCCUGAUGGAGGGGGAUAACUACUGGAAACGGUGGCUAAUACCGCAUAACGUCGCAAGACCAAAGAGGGGGACCUUCGGGCCUCUUGCCAUCAGAUGUGCCCAGAUGGGAUUAGCUAGUUGGUGAGGUAACGGCUCACCAAAGCGACGAUCCCUAGCUGGUCUGAGAGGAUGACCAGCCACACUGGAACUGAGACACGGUCCAGACUCCUACGGGAGGCAGCAGUGGGGAAUAUUGCACAAUGGGCGCAAGCCUGAUGCAGCCAUGCCGCGUGUAUGAAGAAGGCCUUCGGGUUGUAAAGUACUUUCAGCGGGGAGGAAGGUGUUGUGGUUAAUAACC
rnacentral:rRNA from 1 species